UAAACAGAAAACAGGGCAUACUUGUUAAAUAGAGAUGCGGAAAUAUGAUGAAUCUCAAUCUUUGAUGCAAAUAUGCACAACUUAUGCUUCGCAACAACGUCAACACUGGAUGAAACCAGAGGAUGAAAUUCAGUUCCUUCCGAAAUAUCCUGCGAGAAAAUGUAAAUUGUUAAUUGAAAAUUGUCAUUUAAUAUUAAGCAUAAUAUGGUUUUCAAUGUGUCAAACAGAAGUUUGUAGAAUACAAUAUAUGCUUUUUCAAACUUCUUUCAUAGAACUAAACUUGAUUGAAAAUAGC
rnacentral:lncRNA from 1 species